GAAGUCGGCCAGGCAACCGCUGCGCGCCUUUCGGCGCGGGGAGGAAAGUCCGGGCUUCGCAGAGCAGGAUGCCGGCUAACGGCCGGGCGCUAUAAGCCGCGAGGUGAAGGCGACGGAAAGUGCAACAGAGAAUAGACCGCCCAAGUCCGGGAAACCGGAACGGCAAGGGUGAAACGGCGGGGUAAGAGCCCACCGCGGACGUGGCGACACGGACGGCACGGCAAACCCCAUCCGAAGCAAGGCCAAAUAGGGAAGCGCAUGGCGUGGCUCGCGCCGCUUCCGGGUAGGCCGCUCGAGCGCAUCGGCAACGCUGCGCCUAGAGGAAUGGUUGCCCACGACAGAACCCGGCUUAUCGGCCGGCUUCCCGC
rnacentral:RNase_P_RNA from 1 species